UAGGGAAUCUUCCACAAUGGACGCAAGUCUGAUGGAGCAACGCCGCGUGAGUGAAGAAGGUUUUCGGAUCGUAAAGCUCUGUUGUUGGUGAAGAAGGAUAGAGGUAGUAACUGGCCUUUAUUUGACGGUAAUCAACCAAAAAGUCACGGCUAACUACGUGCCAGCAGCCGCGGUAAUACGUAGGUGGCAAGCGUUGUCCGGAUUUAUUGGGCGUAAAGCGAGCGCAGGCGGAAGAAUAAGUCUGAUGUGAAAGCCCUCGGCUUAACCGAGGAACUGCAUCGGAAACUGUUUUUCUUGAGUGCAGAAGAGGAGAGUGGAACUCCAUGUGUAGCGGUGGAAUGCGUAGAUAUAUGGAAGAACACCAGUGGCGAAGGCGACUCUCUGGUCUGCAACUGACGCUGAGGCUCGAAAGCAUGGGUAGCGAACAGG
rnacentral:rRNA from 1 species